UUCGUUAUUGAAUAGAUGAGGGAUACCACCAACUCACUGGAAGAGGAGGCAACUGCCUUGUGUCUAGUUAUCUUAUGAAAGAUAUAGGCUCAUAUGUCUGCCUGGCAAGACAAAAUUAGUUUUGAAUAAUAGGAAAGGAUUCAAAAUAAGGAUAAUUUCAAUUUCUGCAAUUGUUACCAUAAGACUGAAUUACAACUUGAGAAGUGCUUUGCCCAGGUAUUCACAGGUUCAUGGUGAAGAAAACCAGGUAGCAGUUCUACAGGGCUAAAAGAAGAACUUCAAGCAUUUCAACUUGACUGCCAAAGAAGCUAAAGAGAGGAGACAGAUGUGCACCAUGAACAAAACAGUAUCCUGUCCUUAGAUACGGAUAAGCCUGAAACAUCCAACAGCCAAGAAGAACAUCAAGAAAAUACGUAUAUUCAGCUGUCUCAUUCGAGCCCUGGUGAGGAAAUACAUGACACUGGCUGCUGGACUCCAGAGGCCCUUUCGGAACAUGGAUUUCUACACACUAGAUCUGCCGAGGAAAGGAGACACCUUCUCCAAGCAGGAACUGCCUGUGAGCCUUUUCUGCCCAUUCUGGUUCAAGGAGACAGGAUCAAUGUGAUUUUUUCAGGAAGAAAAUACCCGAGUGUGCAUCCCCAGUUGCUGGAUUUUAUUGCUUCUGCUGUGCUAAACAUCCAAUUCUCCACCAAAAAGGCGCGUCUUUUCUCAUGAGAGGAAUAAGCUUUAAACUACACUUCAGUAUGGAAGCAAACAGUAGAUUGGUAAAAUUAAGCUACUGAAGACUUUUCCCAGUCCCUAAAACUGUAUCAUCAAACCCUACGGUGCUGGUCCUGCUUAGUUUGACUCUACGUGUCAGUCUUAAGCACUAACAAGUUAUUCUAAUACUGCUAUGGACCAAAUAUGAAUGAGGCAUCCUUGUACAAACAAGAAGUCAUAGGCAGUCUCUGAACUGCCCAGCUUGAAAUAGAGGUAGAUCAGACAUAAAUGGGGUAGGGAAAGUGGUAUAAUACAUAAGCAAAGAGGUUCACUGGAGUGAUGGCAAAAAAUGAGGAUGUUUGCUCCACCCGUGUUCUUCCCCUCUCUUUUGUGAUGGGUUGAAUUAGGAGAAAAUCAGAUAAACAGCAAGAAAAUUGUGAAAUGAGGAUGAGUCUAAACAGAAAGGG